UAGGGAAUCUUCCACAAUGGACGCAAGUCUGAUGGAGCAACGCCGCGUGAGUGAAGAAGGUCUUCGGAUCGUAAAGCUCUGUUGUUGGUGAAGAAGGAUAGAGGCAGUAACUGGUCUUUAUUUGACGGUAAUCAACCAGAAAGUCACGGCUAACUACGUGCCAGCAGCCGCGGUAAUACGUAGGUGGCAAGCGUUGUCCGGAUUUAUUGGGCGUAAAGCGAGCGCAGGCGGAAUGAUAAGUCUGAUGUGAAAGCCCACGGCUCAACCGUGGAACUGCAUCGGAAACUGUCAUUCUUGAGUGCAGAAGAGGAGAGUGGAACUCCAUGUGUAGCGGUGGAAUGCGUAGAUAUAUGGAAGAACACCAGUGGCGAAGGCGGCUCUCUGGUCUGCAACUGACGCUGAGGCUCGAAAGCAUGGGUAGCGAACAGGAUUAGAUACCCUGGUGAGUCCAUGCCGUAAACGAUGA
rnacentral:rRNA from 1 species